rnacentral:misc_RNA from 1 species
AUUUACUUUCCGUCUUACAUAUUUCUUACAUUAAUUUUUCUUUAAAUAAUUUUUAAAAUAAAAUUAAAUUUGAUACAUUUUCUAUGUAUUAUUCUUGACAAGAAAAUUACGUGUCUCAUUUACAAUUGAACGAAUUUCGUCAAGCAAGCGUAAGCUGCAACAUGGUGAAGUCAACACAAAAAUUAAAGGACAGGAAUGCCGCAAUUGAAAAGUCAAAACCUAAAAGUCAGUGCAACGCGCAUAGAGAUGCACUCACGCGUAAUGAAACGCGUCUUGAAACAAACAUUGCUUCGUAGCUUAUCCUUCGUCAUGUUCAAGUAUAUAUCUACGUCCAUUCAAUUUAUUAUAAUUAAUUUUUGCAUUAAAUAGAUAUAUAAAAUGAAUUAAAUACACCUUCUUCAAAGCAAGAAAUUGAUAUCCUAACUUGAAUUCAACCUAUACGUAUGAAAGUAGAAGUUGAAAGACUAUACGCACGUAAACGUCUCUAUAGAGAUUCGGACCAAUUCAAAACCAGAAACAUAAUUCCUUUCUGAGCUAUAUACUCAUUGCAAGUGCAAGAACAAAGACUCAUUAAACAGAAGAAUCCGUGUUAGAAUGAUCAUUUGAAUUUUCAGUCUCAACCCCUUUGGGAAAAAGCCAAAAGGGAUAACUAUAUAAGGAGUUUUAUGUCACUGGGAGAACUCGUUUAACAAAGAAAGAUGGAACCUUGGUUGAUUAUAAUCAUAGUUUGGUGUUCAUUUGUGGCCUUGGGAGUCAUUUUUGCUUUACUCAGACAUGCAACAGGAACACAUGGGGGUGGAUUUGAUGGUAGUGGACAUGGUAGAGGACAUGACAUCGAACAUGGCAAUUUUGAGGAUGGAGGCGCAGGAGAUUUCAAUGAUUGGGGAGGGGAUACUUUUGCUGGGGUAGGAGGAUCUGAUUUUGGCGGUGGUGGAGCUGGGUCUGAUUUUGGUGGUGGAG